rnacentral:tRNA from 1 species
GCCGGUAUAGCUCAGGGGUAGAGCAACUGAUUUGUAAUCAGUAGGUCGCGGGUUCAAAUCCCAUUGCCGGCUCCA